UAUUAAAUAGCUGGUACUUCAUUUGAUUGUAAGUACUUCAGUGCAACCAGACUAGAUCUCAGUGUAAGAGAAUAUUAAACUAUAUUUUGAGGUUAUUUGAGGUUAAAAAAUUAAGGGUAAAACAAAAGCACAUUUUGGGUAAAGAAUAAACCAAACCCAACUUACCGCCAAAUUGGUCAAUAAUAUAAUAGGCAUAUAAUAAUAUAUAAUUAAAAUGGGUUUGCUUAAUUUUCUCCAUCAUUUCAAACCAUAAUAAACCCCGGCAUAUAUAAAUACUGUCAUGCCUUCAUUUAUGGCAAGUUAUUCUUCGAUAGUCCGCAGUCCGCACAGCAAGAUGAAGUUGGUGGUGUUCUCAUUGCUGGUGGUCUUUGUCCUUGAGUCACAAGCAUUCCGAUACUUUUGGUAUACUCCUACUCUUGGUACAACUUACCCGGCUAUCCCUUAUCCACAAUACCAACCUCCUUACCGUCAAUAUAAAUACCGGUAUUCUGCCAGCGCGGUUUCAUACUUCCGCCAUCUUCUUUCGACCAUUUAUCCUCGGACUACGUAUUGGUCUAGAAAUGAACCUGAAUUUGAUUUGAGUGACGAGUAUGACGAGGGGCCUGUGCCUGAAUUGUAUGGUAUCAUCGAGGAGGGACGACGAUGUAUCUGUGAAAAGUCACUACCGGCCACCAAAGAGAUGUAUCUAAAGAGUCUAUUUCGCAAGUAGACUUUACUUUAGAAUACCAGAUAAUUAUUUUGUUCUGUAUUUUGUUAGUUGUCUUAUUAAUGCUGUAUUGGAUGGUAACACUUGAAAUAAAAAUACUUAAAGUUUC